AAUCCCCUACAAAUCAGCAAUCUCGAUGACCAAAUACUCCCUCAAUUAGAGCUGGUCGAUAUUCUUCUUAUCUGGAAACAAUUCUGGAGAUAUUUCUUCCAACUAGGCAAGGUUGUUAGCUAAUGUUUCAAUCUGCUGGCUUGAUCUCUUCUUUGGAUUGAACUGAUGGGCUGAAUGUGACCCAAAUUAUGGGCCUGUAUUGGACCCAAUUUGAUGCCCAAUCGUAUGACCUGACAUAAACCACAUAUUUUAUUAGGACUAUUUUGUAACAGUCUAUGGAAUGUCUCACUUACAAGAUUGUCAAGUGGUGACUCAGAUGCUUAGGUCUCUUGCGAUGAAGCAUUGACUAGUUGAUGCCUCGGAGAUGAUGUAUUGGCAACCAUCACUAAUAUCAAAUGAUACAUACUGAUAGGCAAGGCAAUACAGUAGAAGAAGGAACACUGGUUGGUCAUUUAACAAAGUAGUGAAUGACAGAGAAAAGUGAGCAAUUAACAAUCGAGUCCAUACAAUGAAAACAAGAAAUCAUAUGGUAAAGAACUUGAAACAAGUUGUCAACUUGCUGGUUGAACCCAAUUUAUGACCUCGGCCCAAUGGUAAGGUUGCUCCAUUGCGAUCUAGUGGUCGUGGUUCGAGUCGGAAAACAGCCUCUCCACAAAGUAGGGGUAAGGCUGCAUACAUUAUGACCCUCUCCAGACCCCUCAGUGGUGGGAGCCCUUGUACACUGGGUCUAUUGACUGCAGGUACUUUGACUUUGGAAAUGGGACAUGCCCCUUUGGGACUAGUUGUUUCUAUAAGCAUGCUUAUCGUGAUGGCAGCCUGGAAGAAGUUGUUCUGCGGCAUCUUGCAGCUGAAGAUGGAGACACUGUAAUUGCUAAAGAUAUAAGGAUUUCUGAUUUCUUUAGUAAUUUGCGUCUAAGGUGAAGAGAACUAGCUAAUAAAGCUUCCAAGAUUUUUAAUUUUGAUUGCAGACAUGUUCAACUUGGAGUGCCUAAAAUAUCUAUACUGUUGCCCUUGUUGCACUCCACUCCUGCAGAAGAAUAUGCUUGCUGGGGACCCAAAAGGUGGACUCACAAUGGGGCAUAGUCAACUGUAGUAAUAAACAGCUUUCACUAUACACAGAGGUGGUUAGGGAAGAAACAGAAAAAAAAUGGAUGGUAAUAUUGAGGUUCAAUUUUUUGAGAAUCUGCAUUUGGCUUGUUGUUUCAUGAAUCCCCAGUGCAUCCUUGAAAGGGUUGUAUAAUGAGUGACAAACGAUUGUGCAUUUACAUUGUUAUGCCCUGCCCAUCAUUAUUACAUCAAUCAAUACUGUACAUAAAUGGGUAUAUAUGGAUUUACUCUUAAACUAUUGGUAAAUUUCCACAAUUAUGCUUAUGAUGAGAUAAUCUGGGGAAAAAACCUCUGAAAGUUUGUAAGUACAUGAAUUCAUGCAGGCAAUAUCUUGUCCCUUUAAGAGCAGAAGCAACUAAUAAAGUUUUCGAUGUUUCUUUUGGGUA